rnacentral:rRNA from 1 species
AACGAACGCUGGCGGCAUGCUUAACACAUGCAAGUCGAACGGAAAGGCCCUGCUUGCAGGGUACUCGAGUGGCGAACGGGUGAGUAACGCGUGGGUGAUCUGCCCUGCACUUCGGGAUAAGCCUGGGAAACUGGGUCUAAUACCGGAUAAGAGCCAUUUUUAGUGUGAUGGUUGGAGAGUUUUUUCGGUGUAGGAUGAGCUCGCGGCCUAUCAGCUUGGUGGUGGGGUAAUGGCCUACCAAGGCGGCGACGGGUAGCCGGCCUGGGGGGGUGGACGGCCACAUCGGGACUGAGAUACGGCCCAGACUCCUACGGGAGGCAGGAGUGGGGAAGAUUGUACAAUGGGCGCAAGCCUGAUGCAGCGACGCCGCGUGGGGGAUGACGGCCUUCGGGUUGUAAACUCCUUUCGCUAGGGACGAAGCGUUUGUGACGGUACCUAGAUAAGAAGCACCGGCUAACUACGUG